UACGGGGGGGGUAAGCGUUGUUCGGAAUUACUGGGCGUAAAGGGCUCGUAGGCGGCCAACUAAGUCGGACGUGAAAUCCCUCAGCUUAACUGGGGAACUGCGUCCGAUACUGGAUGGCUUGGAUUUGGGAGAGGGAUGCGGAAUUCCAGGUGUAGCGGUGAAAUGCGUAGAUAUUGGGAGGAACACCGGUGGCGAAGGCGGCCCCCUGGACCGGUACUGACGCUGAGGCGCGAAAGCGUGGGGAGCGAACAGG
rnacentral:rRNA from 1 species